rnacentral:lncRNA from 1 species
UGUGAUUGCAAUUGGCUUUGCAACUGGGUUUUGGGGAGUUAUUGGCACUUUGUGGUUCAAGAAAACUUGGAGGCAUGCUUACUUCAGAUGGGUAGAAGAUUUAGCCGACAUUAUCUAUGUCACAACUGCAAUAAGAAUGGCAAAAUUGAAGAAGUGGAUGAUGAUGAGAAGCCGUGUUGUUGCUUGAUCAUGUAUUCAAAGGUGGAAAUAAAUUAAGGAAAGUGAAUAAUGUUUGAUGCAUGUAUCAAUGUAUGUGUUUGCAUGAAUUUGUAAUAGAGAUUGUCAAUUGAUGUUUAAUCUCCUGAAGAACCUCUGCAUAAAACAGAACAACAUAUCUAACAAAAUUAUAAAUUGAAGUUGAGUUAAUAGCUCCCUUCUGCAAUUCACCUCUUUUGAUGCACCAAUUUUCUUAAAUUCCUUUUGAUUUCAUUUUCUCUGAACCUUGAUUCAAUGCAGCAGUAACCAUACCACAACUGUUAUGUAACUAUACACUUCAUUUGUGGUUCAAUAUACUUCCUAGUUACUGUAAUGUCCCAAGCUUUUUUUCUUUCUAUUAUUACUAUCCUACCCUUUAAUUUUAUCAAAAUUCCUACAUUACCCUUAUUCCUCCUACCCAAACCCAACCCUAAAUUACUAAACAACUUCCACUCUUCCUCAUCAACCACAGCCCCCCCUUCUUUUCAAAACUCACAUCAUACACAUACACCCACGCAGAAAAAAAAAGAGAGAACGGCAGAAGGGGCUGCAGCCUCCACGCCUCGCCGCCGAAGUUCUGCUGCUGCCAAGUCGCCAUCGACGUCAACCCUAGAGAAAGAGGGAGUCUGGGAGUUGAAGGAAGCUGGAGGAGUGUCGCUGCCGUUAGCAUUUUGCAGUGCCGUCAUCAUAGUCACGGAGAAGGAGGAGGACCCACGAGGAAGAGAGGGACGCGGUCAGUCUCAUCGUCAUCAGAUCCGUCUUUGCCGAUGGAGACCCCGUCGCUAAGCUGCUGCGCCGCCGCUGCCACCGUUGGGUUUCCGGGAAGAGGAGCUCGAACGGGAGAGAGAGAACGAGAGAGAGAGUUCGCAGAAAGAGAAACAUCACCAUACACAAACAGAGGGGGAGGAGGAACUCACCGGAGGAGAGGAGACUCGUCGCCGUGCCUCUAGUCGCCAGGAACGGCGCUACCGUCGCCGGAAAACACGCCGGAGCUUCCAAACUCACCGGCAACACUACCUUGCCACUGUU